rnacentral:lncRNA from 1 species
GUACCACCAGUGCUCCCAGUGUCUCCAGAGCUCCCAGUAUCCCCAGUACCACCAGUAUGACCAGUAUCACCAGUGCUCCCAGUGUCUCCAGAGCUCCCAGUAUCACCAGUACCACCAGUAUGACCAGUACAACCCAGUACCACCAGUGUCAGCAGUAUCACCAGUGCUCCCAUACAACCCAGUGCUCCCAGUAUCACCAGUGCCACCAGUAUGACCAGUACAACCCAGUACAGCCCAGUGCCACCAGUAUCACCAGUGCUCCCAGUAUCACCAGUACCACCACCAGUAUGACCAGUACAACCCAGUACGGCCCAGUACCACCAGUAUGACCAGUGCUCCCAGUACCACCAGUGCUCCCAGUAUCACCAGUACCUCCAGGAUGACCAGUACAACCCAGUACAACCCAGUGCCACCAGUACCACCAGUAUCACCAGUAUGACCAGUAUCACCAGUGCUCCCAGUGUCUCCAGAGCUCCCAGUACCACCAGUAUCACCAGUAUGACCAGUACAACCCAGUGCCUCCAGUGCUCCCAGUACAACCAGUACCACCAGUGCCACCAGUAUCA